rnacentral:lncRNA from 1 species
AAAAUUCCCACGCCCGUCGGUGCUACUGUCUAAAAGUUUACAACCCACCGAUGCUGCCGUCUUUGCAAACCGUCGAUGCUACAGCCUCAACUUAUUUAAAUCGUCGGCGUCUGGAAUUCUCGAAAUCAAUUGUACGGUAUGUGAAAUUUCCAAACAUCUUUUCGAUGAUCAAUAACUAUCAUGAAUAUAAGCUACUAUAUACUUUGAACACACUUUCAGUCAAUAAUAUCAUAUACAAUCUCACUUUCCUUUCCUUGAAACAAAGAUCACUAUUUUGUAGUGUUGAUAUAUAUAUUUUGUAUGCAUUUUUUGCCUUAAUCAAGAACAAGUGCUACGGUUUCUCUCAUUAACUUCUCUUGAAAUGAUUUGCAUUUUGUCUACCAAUUUCUAUAUUGCCUUCUUAUUUCUAGUUUAUUCAAUUGUUGAUAUAUAUUCUGCAUGUAGUUUUUUCAAUGCUCAUAGAAUCUGAAGACAACUGAUUUGAUUGAAAAUAAUGUGUAUAGGGAAGUCAUUAUUUCGUGUUCAAUUGCACUUGCACUCUAUUUUAUGGAGAUCGAAUUCUGACUUUGGGCUUCUUGAAUUGCACUGUAUGCUAGAGUUUGCUCCAUGACAGAAGGAACAGAGGUAUAUGCCAUAGCUGCAGAAUGUCGGGUCAUUCGUUCUCGGAAUGUUCGAGAAAGAGAAGAUACCCGAAAUGUGGCAAGGGGUUCGUGAAGUGGAUAGAGGUGGAAAAAAAUAGUGAAAACAAAGGAUGGUUGUUCCAUUACUAUACUCGUGACUGUAGGCAUUUCAAGUGGUCUGAUGUUUCGUCACAUGACGAUGGGCUAGUGCAUUACGAAGGUGAAUCAAGUGGCUCUUCUUGGGGAUCAUAUAAGUUCAACAAUCCAACUGUGGACCUAUCAAGUGUGUUUCAAAAAUGCAUUAAUGUAGCCGAUGAAAAUGACCAUUUGGAGAUUUCUCUCAACAUAACUCUUCGCAAAGGGAAACGAGAUUUGGAUGACGAAGAGAGAGCAAAAAAAAGGGGUGUUAAUUAGACGGUGUACUGUUGAUGUAAUCAAAUUGUC